CCCGCUGAACUUAAGCAUAUCAAUAAGCGGAGGAAAAGAAACUAACAAGGAUUCCCCUAGUAACUGCGAGUGAAGCGGGAAAAGCUCAAAUUUAAAAUCUGUCAGUCUUUGGCUGUCCGAGUUGUAAUCUAGAGAAGUGUUAUCCGCGCUGGACCGUGUACAAGUCUCCUGGAAUGGAGCGUCAUAGAGGGUGAGAAUCCCGUCUUUGACACGGACUGCCAGGGCUUUUGUGAUGCGCUCUCAAAGAGUCGAGUUGUUUGGGAAUGCAGCUCAAAAUGGGUGGUAAAUUCCAUCUAAAGCUAAAUAUUGUCGAGAGACCGAUAGCGAACAAGUACCGUGAGGGAAAGAUGAAACGAACUUUGGAAAGAGAGUUAAACAGCACGUGAAAUUGCUGAAAGGGAAACGCUUGAAGCCAGGCGCGUCAUCCAGCGGAUCAACCUUGCUUUUGCGUGGAGUACUGGCUGGUCGACAGGUCAGCAUCAAUUUUCACCAUAAGAAAAAGAUUAAGGGAAUGAGUCAUACAUAGUGAUGUGUCAUAGCGCUUAGUCGCAGACUGUGAUUGGUAUAGAGGAACUCCGCACGCCGCAGGCCCUGUUUUUCAUUAAAUCCUUGCUUGCUUCGUAUUGUGGCUUAUUGACUUGAAUCUAGCCAGCGGGGAAGGGGAAAGGGCGGACUGCUAACUUCCCACUUCCUAUACGGCGUUAGAUACUCGUCUUACACUUUCCUGGUCGUCGUUUUGGAACGGCUUGCCUUGAAAAACCUAGUUUUUCCCAAUUUAAUCGUCUUCCCUUUGUGCCCACUGUGAGACAGCUGAGGCCUAACCCAAACCCCCUCACCAAUAGCCCUCCCAAACGGUUGGGCGGUUAAGACUAACAAAAAUUUAAGGGUUACCCUUUUUUAAAUUGGGGGCGGUAAAUUUUAGUUUUUGGGAGGGCCGGGGGGUGAUUUUUGGCCCCCCCCGGGCGCGGGAAGAUUGUCCCCCUAAAUCUCCGCGCCCGCUGGUUUUUGUAUAAAAUUUCCCCCGGAAAUUCUCCCCCGGGGGGGCCAU
rnacentral:rRNA from 1 species